UUAAAUUGAAGAGUUUGAUCAUGGCUCAGAUUGAACGCUGGCGGCAGGCCUAACACAUGCAAGUCGAACGGUAACAGGAAGCAGCUUGCUGCUUUGCUGACGAGUGGCGGACGGGUGAGUAAUGUCUGGGAAACUGCCCGAUGGAGGGGGAUAACUACUGGAAACGGUAGCUAAUACCGCAUAACGUCGCAAGACCAAAGAGGGGGACCUUAGGGCCUCUUGCCAUCGGAUGUGCCCAGAUGGGAUUAGCUAGUAGGUGGGGUAACGGCUCACCUAGGCGACGAUCCCUAGCUGGUCUGAGAGGAUGACCAGCCACACUGGAACUGAGACACGGUCCAGACUCCUACGGGAGGCAGCAGUGGGGAAUAUUGCACAAUGGGCGCAAGCCUGAUGCAGCCAUGCCGCGUGUAUGAAGAAGGCCUUCGGGUUGUAAAGUACUUUCAGCGGGGAGGACCGCUGUAAACUUCAA
rnacentral:rRNA from 1 species